rnacentral:rRNA from 1 species
UACGAAGGGGGCUAGCGUUGCUCGGAAUCACUGGGCGUAAAGGGUGCGUAGGCGGGUCUUUAAGUCAGGGGUGAAAUCCUGGAGCUCAACUCCAGAACUGCCUUUGAUACUGAAGAUCUUGAGUUCGGGGAGAGGUGAGUGGAACUGCGAGUGUAGAGGUGAAAAUUCGUAGAUAUUCGCAAGAACACCAGUGGCGAAGGCGGCUCACUGGCCCGAUACUGACGCUGAGGCACGAAAGCGUGGGGAGCAACAGGG